rnacentral:rRNA from 1 species
AGAUUGAACGCUGGCGGCAUGCCUUACACAUGCAAGGUCGAACGGUAGAGGGGGCAACCCUUGAGAGUGGCGAACGGGUGAGUAAUAUAUCGGAACGUGCCCAGUCGUGGGGGAUAACGUAGCGAAAGUUACGCUAAUACCGCAUACGAUCUAAGGAUGAAAGCGGGGGAUCGCAAGACCCCGCGCGAUUGGAGCGGCCGAUAUCAGAUUAGGUAGUUGGUGGGGUAAAGGCUCACCAAGCCGACGAUCUGUAGCUGGUCUGAGAGGACGACCAGCCACACUGGGACUGAGACACGGCCCAGACUCCUACGGGAGGCAGCAGUGGGAAUUUUGGACAAUGGGCGCAAGCCUGAUCCAGCAAUGCCGCGUGCAGGAUGAAGGCCUUCGGGUUGUAAACUGCUUUGUACGGAACGAAACGGUGAGCUCUAAUACAGUUUGCUAAUGACGGUACCGUAAGAAUAAGCACCGGCUAACUACGUG